rnacentral:rRNA from 1 species
UACGGAGGAUGUAAGCGUUAUCCGGAAUCAUUGGGCGUAAAGCGUCCGCAGGUGGCAUUUCAAGUCUGCUGUCAAAGGUCGGGGCUUAACUCCGAACAGGCAGUGGAAACUGAGAAGCUAGAGUAUGGUAGGGGCAGAGGGAAUUCCUGGUGUAGCGGUGAAAUGCGUAGAGAUCAGGAAGAACACCGGUGGCGAAAGCGCUCUGCUAGGCCAUAACUGACGCUCAGGGACGAAAGCUAGGGGAGCGAAUGGG